rnacentral:tRNA from 1 species
GCUCGGGUGGCGAAACUGGUAGACGCGGGGGACUGUGGAUCCCUUGUCUUGAUCGACGUCCGGGUUCGAAUCCCGGUCCGAGCA